UACGUAGGGGGCUAGCGUUAUCCGGAAUUAUUGGGCGUAAAGAGCUCGUAGGCGGUCUGUCGCGUCUGCUGUGAAAACUCGGGGCUUAACCCCGGGCCUGCAGUGGGUACGGGCAGACUAGAGUGCGGUAGGGGAGACUGGAAUUCCCGGUGUAGUGGUGAAAUGCGUAGAGAUCGGGAGGAACACCUGUGGCGAAGGCGGCCACCUGGGCCGACCCUGACGCUGAGGCGCGAAGGCGUGGGGAGCGAACGGG
rnacentral:rRNA from 1 species